CUUUCCACACUAUUUAGUUCUACGGAAAC
rnacentral:other from 1 species